AUUGAACGCUGGCGGCAGGCCUAACACAUGCAAGUCGAGCGGAUGAAGGGAGCUUGCUCCUGGAUUCAGCGGCGGACGGGUGAGUAAUGCCUAGGAAUCUGCCUGGUAGUGGGGGAUAACGUCCGGAAACGGGCGCUAAUACCGCAUACGUCCUGAGGGAGAAAGUGGGGGAUCUUCGGACCUCACGCUAUCAGAUGAGCCUAGGUCGGAUUAGCUAGUUGGUGGGGUAAAGGCCUACCAAGGCGACGAUCCGUAACUGGUCUGAGAGGAUGAUCAGUCACUGUGGAUGUGAGAGACGGCGGAGACGCGGGGGGGGGGCGGGAGGGGAGAUUAGGGGACAAGGGACGAACGGCAGGUACAGCGAGGGCGUGGGUGUGAAGAAGGUCGGAGGAUUGUAAAGAAUGUUGAGUGGGGAGGAAGGGAAGUAAGUUAAUAUCUUGGUGUUUUGAAGUUAAAAAAAGAAGAAGCACCGGAUAGCUUCGGGCCAGCAGCCGAGGUAAUACGCGGAAGACAACACGUCUGAUC
rnacentral:rRNA from 1 species